GUGGGGAAUCUUAGACAAUGGGGGCAACCCUGAUCUAGCCAUGCCGCGUGAGUGAUGAAGGCCUUAGGGUUGUAAAGCUCUUUCAGUGGGGAAGAUAAUGACGGUACCCACAGAAGAAGCCCCGGCUAACUCCGUGCCAGCAGCCGCGGUAAUACGGAGGGGGCUAGCGUUGUUCGGAAUUACUGGGCGUAAAGCGCACGUAGGCGGAUCGGAAAGUUGGGGGUGAAAUCCCAGGGCUCAACCCUGGAACUGCCUUCAAAACUAUCGGUCUGGAGUCCGAGAGAGGUGAGUGGAAUUCCGAGUGUAGAGGUGAAAUUCGUAGAUAUUCGGAGGAACACCAGUGGCGAAGGCGGCUCACUGGCUCGGUACUGACGCUGAGGUGUGAAAGCGUGGGGAGCAAACAGGAUUAGAAACCCGUGUAGUCC
rnacentral:rRNA from 1 species